AGGCUCCAAACAGCACACCCAAACACACACAGACGCAGGCUGCACGGUGGAAACUGAACGCUCAGCCAACUGUUCCCGAAGCCCUCCUGCGCCAGCUCACUGCGGCAAGGCUCACCCUGCGCCCUGCCCCCAACCAGGCCAGCCCAAAAAGGGCUACAGAACUGCUGCAGGAGCCACCCCCUCCUCCCCGCCAUCCCAGGAGAACCCCUGCACCAGGAGGAGCCCUGGUGAGGGAUAAGCCUGGGGGUCUCCCGUGCCUUCAGCACAGCACACCCAGUGUUGCCCACCGCACGCCAGAUCCUGACUACCUCCUGCGGAAGACUGCAACCCAGCCAGAGGUCACUGCAUGGUCGCAGCUGUCCCCCCAUCCCACCUUUGAGGGAGCUGAUCUCGUGCUGGAUGGCUCUCGAGGGGUCCAUGUCUCUGAUGAGGGCCGAGGGUGAUGCAGCUAUCUCCACGCAGAGUCCGGCACCGCACCGAACUGCCCCGGCCAGAGCCGGCUGGGGGAGGAACCGGGAGGUGUGGGGCGGGGCCGGCCAGUCAGAGGCGGGGCUUCAGCUGAUCAAUGUGCGGGACCAGGCUGCCCUGGGCGCAUGCUCCCAGCCAUGGGUCGCUCCACCCCGUCCUUCCUAACCUGCUGUCCCACACCUGCGACCCAGCUAUCUCCAACCAGGCAGCUCGGCCAUAAAACUGCAAUGUGGCACAUCCAGACAGCCCACCUCAGUCUCCAGCCUCCGCCACCCAGAGCCACACCUGGAAUGGCCUGCAGAAACCAUGAGCACAGGGCCUGUUCCUGGUCUUGAAGCCCUAACCACCCACUCCUGACUCCAAGGACCUCCUCAAGCUGCCUCCCCUGGGCCAUGACUGAAGGGCUGUCAUUGUCAUGCCUCGGGACCCCGAACAAGCCCAUUCACCCAGGAGAUGCAGUGAUAAUACCCUUCCCUUGGGCCCCAUCCCUGCUCAAGCCCUUCUCCAACAUGCAGCUGAUCACCCCACUGGUCCUACAGCUCAAGAUGCUUCUGUGCCCCAUGGGGACCGCACAAGCCCCAGCCUCUGCCUCCCCUAGCCCUUGGAGGCCCUUGUCUGCUCAGUUCUGUGGGUACUCAACUAACCACCACUUAGUGGCUUACACCAAAACCCUGGGGUCACCACUCCUCAUAGCCAGGCCCACAGGAUCUGCGGGUACUGCCUAUCAGUCCAGUUGUCACCCAUCUCCAUUGCCAUCAGAAUGACACGCAGCUCCUUGCUGAGCUGACCCCACCUCUCCACCACCUCCAGGGAACCAACAGCAGCUUCUCUGGGCCACCACCCCAGCCAGUGGCAGUGAACUGUCACUCCUGCCUCUUGGAGAGACCAUCUGGACUGCAGGAAGAGGUCAGCUCUGCCUCUCUGCAGGCUGCAGAAACCAUCAGGAACACUUGGGCCAUGUCCAUUCCACGGGGCAGGCACCCCAGGUCCUCUGUGCUGGGUGGGCAGUGUGGAACACAGAUGGGUCUCCACAAGAUGUGCUAAGAGCCUCGGUCUCCUGAAGACCUAAGUCUCCCUCCCAGCUGCUCAGUUCCACACCCUGCCAGGCAGGACUACCUCCUUAGGGUGCCCACCCUUUCUACAGGCAGGCCUGUGUAUGACUGGCCAGGGCUGGGACACAGGACAUGGCAUCGCCACACACAGGCUAACAGGCAAAGCAGCAGCAGGGGCCAGGCCCACCUGGGCUCCAGACCCAGCAGGCCUGGGGGUCCCUCAGCCUCCACCUCUGCUCUCCCUGGGGCUCAACCAGUCCAGGGCAUGAGUGGGUCUCACUAAACACCAGCUGCCUGAAUAUUUGGGGGAAAUAAUGAAGUGUGGAAUUAAAACAGAAUUUUGUGAAUUCUUACA